UGACGAUGAUAAUGAUGAUGACGAUGGUGGUGGUGGUGGUGAUGAUGAUGAUGAUGAUCUUCAUCAUCAUCAUCAUCAUCGUCGUCAUCAUCAUUG
rnacentral:pre_miRNA from 1 species